GACUUGAUUGACUUGACUUGAAUUGAAUUGACUUAAAUUGACGACUUGAAUUGACUUGAUUUUAAUUGAAUUGAAUUGAAUUGACGUGACAUGACUUGACUUAAAUUGACUUGAUUGAUUGACCUGAAUUGACUUAAAUUGACGACUUAAACUGACUUGACUUGACUUGACUUGACUUGACUUGACUUGAAUUGACAUGACGUGACUUAAAUUGACUUGACUUGAUUGCCCUGAACUGACUUGAAUUGACUUGACUUAAAUUGACUUGAUUUUAAUUGAAUUGACUUGAGCUUCCAUGAAUCUGACAUGUUUUUUUUUUUCAGCACAUCCUACAGAUGCUUGAUUGAGAUCUGGGGAAUACGGAGGCUGAGUCGAGACUCUGUCUUUAACUCUUUGUGAUGUUCCUCAGAGAUGUUCUUCAGUGUAACAGAGGCAGCGUUAUCCUGCUGAGGAGAAAGAGGAUGACAGUAUCAUCCACAUGAACCCAAGGUUUCCCAUCAGAACAUCACACUUCCUCCACCAGGCCUCUACCGCAGUACACCAGUAUGACUAUAUGACACACCAGUAUGACACACAGUAAGGAUUCAAGUGCAGACUGAAACCUGAAACCGGGGGUGAGAGGAGAGAGAGAAAAACGAAAGCGCGAGCUGAAACCGGUUCCAUGGGCAGAGGAAAUACGCGAGGAGGUGGAUAAACCCCGCUAUUGCCGUCACUUCCGGUUUUUCCUCUCUUCUCUUCACCCUAGCAGUGUAUGAAGGUGAACAUGGACACACAUCAGUCUGAUUACACUUCAUAAAUAGUGCAGGAGUCACCGUGAACGAAUCCACUGCGUGUUAAUGUGACACCUAAGAAACUCAUUCAACACUGAAUUCACCAGAAUAACAUGAUAUGUACCUCGUCGCCAUGGUAACAGUGUUAAUUCAGCUGUGUGUUAAUUCAAGUGCGGCUCCGACACUGUGGGUGUUAUAAAGGUGUUAUAAGUGUUCUAGAAUGUAUGGUUGUUAUUAAACACUGAUCAGGUGUUGUGUUAAUGCUACUUUGGGGCCUAUAAGUGUACACUGAACACUGCGGGUGUUAUAAUAAUGUUAUAAGUGUUCUCAAAUGCAUUAUUGUUGUUAAACACUAAUUUGGUGUUGUGUUAAGUCUACUUUGUUCUCCAAGGUAAUGUUGUUAUUAAACACUGAUCAGGCGUUAUGUUAAUUCUACUUUGUGUACGCUGAACACUGCAGGUGUUAUAAAGGUAUUAUAAAGAUGUUGUAAAUGUUUUCAAAUGUAUUACUGUUGUUAAAGGUGUUGUGUUAAUUCUACUUUGUGGCCUAUAAGUGUACACUGAACACUACAGGUGUUAUAAAGAUGUUACAAAGGUGUUGUAAAUGUUCUCUAAUGUAUUACUGUUGUUAAAGGUGUUGUGUUAAUGCUACUUUGUGGCCUAUACGUGUAGACUGAACACUGCAGGUGUUAUAAAGGUGUUGUGAACGUUCUCUAUUGUAUUAAUAAUUAAUCUGACACUUAAGAAGCUCAUUCAACACUGAAUUCACCAGAAUAACAUGAUGUGUACCUCAUCGCCAUGGUAACAGUGUUAAUUCAGCUGUGUAAGUGUGGCUCCAACACUGUGGGUGUUAUAAAGGUGUUAUAAGUGUUUUAGAAUGUAUCGUUGACGUUAAACACUGAUCAGGUGUUGUGUUAAUGCUACUUUAUGGCCUAUAAGUGUACACUGAACACUA